GGCCCUCAGACCACUGUGAAGACUUUGGCUUUUCCUCUGGAGGACCGUACACAGAGGGGUGACAUGAUCUGAAUUACAUCUUAACAGGACCACCCUGACUGCUGGGUUGAGAACGGAUCGAAGGGAGGCCAUGACAGCAACAGACAGAGCACUAGGAGGGCUGAAAUAAUUCAGAAGAGCAAUGAUAGAUAAUGUUGGCAGUUUUGGUGAUGAGAACUGCAGGGACCUUGGCGACGUGUGGAAAUAGGAAGACAGAGGACGCUGAGAAAACCAGCCGGGUCUCCGACACCAGUGGGCAUCACGGGUCCUGAUCACGCUUGAGAGGACAGAAGGCUGAGAUGGAGAGCCUAGGGAUGGCCGGCUGUGCACUCCUGGAGCUGUGCCCACCUGCAGGGAUGGGUGACAUGAAGGAGAGAUUCAACACUUUCUUCAGAAAUGAAACAGAGUGCGAACAUAUUUUAAGAAAAGCGGCCAACUGUCAACUCUUCUGUCAACACUGAGAGUUUAUGCUUUUCUCCAAUGUCCUUCAAUAAUCACAAUAAUCUGCACAACACUGUGUCUCUGAAUGAUGGGGUUUUUUUAUAGAAAGAAAAAUAGCCAACAUUUAUUGAGCUUUUUACAUGAACUAUCCCAGUGGGUACUCAUGUAGGCUCUAAGGUCUCCCAGCAUCACCAUUUUCCAGAUGAGCAAACUGAGCAACUUCCCCAAGGUCAGAAACACAAACCACUCCUGAGCUACACCCUCGACCACCAUAUUAUACUAGUUGCCUCAGAAACAUGAGAAAAUGAACUUAACUAGAAAUCGAAAUAAAAACUAAA